rnacentral:rRNA from 2 species
UGCUCAGGAUGAACGCUGGCGGCGUGCCUAAUACAUGCAAGUCGAGCGGACUUACAAAAGCUUGCUUUUGUAAGUUAGCGGCGGACGGGUGAGUAACACGUGGGCAACCUGCCCUUGAGACUGGGAUAACUUCGGGAAACCGGAGCUAAUACCGGAUAAUAUAAGGAACCUCCUGGUUCCUUAUUGAAAGAUGGUUUCGGCUAUCACUUAAGGAUGGGCCCGCGGCGCAUUAGCUAGUUGGUGAGGUAACGGCUCACCAAGGCGACGAUGCGUAGCCGACCUGAGAGGGUGAUCGGCCACACUGGGACUGAGACACGGCCCAGACUCCUACGGGAGGCAGCAGUAGGGAAUCUUCCACAAUGGACGAAAGUCUGAUGGAGCAACGCCGCGUGAGUGAUGAAGGCCUUCGGGUCGUAAAGCUCUGUUGUUAGGGAAGAACAAGUGCGAGAGUAACUGCUCGCACCUUGACGGUACCUAACCAGAAAGCCACGGCUAACUACGUGCCAGCAGCCGCGGUAAUACGUAGGUGGCAAGCGUUAUCCGGAAUUAUUGGGCGUAAAGCGCGCGCAGGUGGUUUCUUAAGUCUGAUGUGAAAGCCCACGGCUCAACCGUGGAGGGUCAUUGGAAACUGGGGAACUUGAGUGCAGAAGAGGAAAGUGGAAUUCCAAGUGUAGCGGUGAAAUGCGUAGAGAUUUGGAGGAACACCAGUGGCGAAGGCGACUUUCUGGUCUGUAACUGACACUGAGGCGCGAAAGCGUGGGGAGCAAACAGGAUUAGAUACCCUGGUAGUCCACGCCGUAAACGAUGAGUGCUAAGUGUUAGAGGGUUUCCGCCCUUUAGUGCUGCAGCUAACGCAUUAAGCACUCCGCCUG